CGGGAGGCAGCAGUUAGGAAUCUUCGGCAAUGGGGGAAACCCUGACCGAGCGACACUGCUUGAAGGAUGAAGGUUUUCGGAUCGUAAACUUCUGAACGAGGGACGAAAAAUGACGGUACCUCGCUAAUAGCACCGGCUAACUCCGUGCCAGCAGCCGCGGUAAUACGGAGGGUGCAAGCGUUAUCCGGAAUCACUGGGCGUAAAGGGCGCGUAGGCGGUUUGUUAAGUCCGAUGUUAAAGACCGAGGCUCAACCUCGACACGGCGUUGGAUACUGGCAAGCUGGACGGUUGGAGAGGAAGGUAGAAUUACCAGUGUAGCGGUGGAAUGCGUAGAUACUGGUAGGAAUACCCAUUGCGAAGGCAGCCUUCUGGACAACACGUGACGCUGAGGCGCGAAAGUGUGGGGAGCAAACCGGAUUAGAUACCCGGGUAGUCCACACCCUAAAC
rnacentral:rRNA from 1 species